rnacentral:rRNA from 1 species
CCUACGGGAGGCAGCAGUGGGGAAUUUUGGACAAUGGACGCAAGUCUGAUCCAGCCAUGCCGCGUGCGGGAAGAAGGCCUUCGGGUUGUAAACCGCUUUUGUCAGGGAAGAAAAGGCUCUUUCUAAUAAAGAGGGCUCAUGACGGUACCUGAAGAAUAAGCACCGGCUAACUACGUGCCAGCAGCCGCGGUAAUACGUAGGGUGCAAGCGUUAAUCGGAAUUACUGGGCGUAAAGCGUGCGCAGGCGGUUGUGCAAGACAGGUGUGAAAUCCCCGGGCUUAACCUGGGAACUGCACUUGUGACUGCACGGCUAGAGUACGGUAGAGGGGGAUGGAAUUCCACGUGUAGCAGUGAAAUGCGUAGAUAUGUGGAGGAACACCGAUGGCGAAGGCAAUCCCCUGGACCUGUACUGACGCUCAUGCACGAAAGCGUGGGGAGCAAACAGGAUUAGAUACCCUGGUAGUCCACGCCCUAAACGAUGUCAACUGGUUGUUGGGAGGGUUUCUUCUCAGUAACGUAGCUAACGCGUGAAGUUGACCGCCUGGGGAGUACGGCCGCAAGGUUGAAACUUAAAGGAAUUGACGG